rnacentral:rRNA from 2 species
AUUGUAAUUUGAAGAGAUUUGGGUCCGGCCGGCAGGGGUUAAGUCCACUGGAAAGUGGCGCCACAGAGGGUGACAGCCCCGUGAACCCCUUCAACGCCCUCAUCCCAGAUCUCCAAGAGUCGAGUUGUUUGGGAAUGCAGCUCUAAGUGGGUGGUAAAUUCCAUCUAAAGCUAAAUACCGGCGAGAGACCGAUAGCGAACAAGUACAGUGAUGGAAAGAUGAAAAGCACUUUGAAAAGAGAGUGAAAAAGUACGUGAAAUUGUUGAAAGGGAAGGGCUUGCAAGCAGACACUUAACUGGGCCAGCAUCGGGGCGGCGGGGAGCAAAACCACCGGGGAAUGUACC